CAAACCUCCUCCUCUCAGACCACUGAAACAUAAACAGCGUGCAAGAUUAUAUAUCCAAUACAUUUACACUUUGCAGAAAGCUUUACAUUUAUAUCAAUGUUGUUCAAGGAAAAAUGAUAAAUGAAAAAAUAACAUUUUUAAUCUGCAUUCCACUAAUUCGCAAAUAAAAGUCCAAGUUGGAAAAGGUUUUCAUGUUAAAAACAUUUCCUUUGUGUUUGUUUGGAAAAGAAAAAGGAGUAAAAAAAUUGCAAAUUAUAGAUACAAAAGCUCCAACUGUAACAGUAAACCGUUGUAUUUAUAUAUGCCUUCAUGGUCAGGGGAGGUACCACAAUUUCCCACAAAUUUCUUCCAAAAUCCAAAGUUGGAAAAACACAAGAACUGCUCAAAUCCACAGAUAUUUAUUAUAAUCCAUAAACCCAAAAAAUAAUUAGUUUUAGUAAUUUUAAAUUUCACCAUCCCAAGUCCCAAGUAUCAUAAAUCUGUACCAGCAUGAUCACUAAAUGCAUCAAAAUCACUGAAGACAAAUAUGUUAGCAUUGCAGUUGACAUCAUUGAAACCACAUAGAUAAUUCAGUCUAGAUAACCCAUGGCAGAACUACAGAACUACAAACGUAGAAGGUCACAAAAUUCCAACAUUCAAGAUCAAGAACACAGAAGAGAUGCACUGUUACGGCCCUUCUAACUAUUCAUAGAAGAUACAAAUUUGAUUCUCAACAUGUGUUCAUCCAGGAACAACAAUCACAAUGACAUGAGCAGUGUUGAUGUGUCAGGAAUGAUGGGCCGAAAUCAAAAC
rnacentral:misc_RNA from 1 species